AACUGCUCGGCAAAACGUCGCAACUUCAUAGCAAACUCCUGCAACUUAAUAAAAACAUUUAUAUAGCUUUGUAAAAAGCUGUUAAGAAGUUGCGAAAACCAACGGGAUUGUGAGCGAAAUUUAGCUUUACAUC
ensembl:ncRNA K06A4.15 ncRNA